CCUACGGGUGGCAGCAGUGGGGAAUAUUGCACAAUGGGGGAAACCCUGAUGCAGCGACGCCGCGUGAGCGAAGAAGUAUUUCGGUAUGUAAAGCUCUAUCAGCAGGGAAGAAAAUGACGGUACCUGACUAAGAAGCCCCGGCUAACUACGUGCCAGCAGCCGCGGUAAUACGUAGGGGGCAAGCGUUAUCCGGAUUUACUGGGUGUAAAGGGAGCGUAGACGGCGGUGCAAGUCGGGAGUGAAAGGCCGGGGCUCAACCCCGGGACUGCGUUUGAAACUGUGCUGCUGGAGUGUAGGAGAGGCAGGCGGAAUGCCUAGUGUAGCGGUGAAAUGCGUAGAUAUUAGGAGGAACACCAGUGGCGAAGGCGGCCUACUGGACUGUAACUGACGUUGAGGCUCGAAAGCGUGGGGAGCAAACAGGAUUAGAUACCCUUGUAGUC
rnacentral:rRNA from 1 species